CCCUUAGAUGUUCUGGGCCGCACACGCGCUACAAUGACAAAGUCAACGAGUAGAUCCGUUACUGAUAAGUACCGGUAAUCUUUUCAGUCUUUGUCGUGAUGGGGAUAGACCCUUGUAAUUAUUGGUCUCCAACGAGGAAUUCCUAGUAAACGCAAGUCAUCAACUUGCAUUGAUUACGUCCCUGCCCUUUGUACACACCGCCCGUCGCACCUACCGAUUGAAUGGCCCGGUGAAGUCUUCGGACCGGAGCUGACUCGUUAGCUCCAGAAAGUUGAGUAAACCUUACCAUUUAGAGGAAGGUGAAGUCGUAACA
rnacentral:rRNA from 1 species